CAUUUGAAGGUCAAGGUCACUGUGACCUUCAAUAUAAAAAAUGUUAAAGUUGUUAUAACUUUGGUAUGCUUGGACCUAGAGUCUUGAAACUUGACAUGAAGGUUGGCCAUAACUAGUUAGUAACCACUGGUCAUUUCAAGGUCAUUCAUUUGAAGGUCAAGGUCACUGUGACCUUGAAUGUAAAAAUGUUAAAGUUCUUAUUUCAUGUUAUAACUUUGGUAUGCUUGUACCUAGAGUCUUCAAACUUGAAAUAAAGAUUGGCCAGUACUAGAAGAUGACCACUGGUCAUUUCAAUGUCAUUCAUUUGAAGGUCAAGGUCACUGUGACCUUAAAUGUUAAAAUGUUAAAAUUGUUAUAACUUUGGUAUGCUUGGACAUAGAGUCUUCAAACUUGACAUGAAGGUUUGCAAGCACACUUAGAUGACCACUGGUCAUUUCAAGGUCAUUCAUUCUAAGGUCAAGGUCACUGUGACCUUGAAUGUAAAAAUGUUAAAGUUCUUAUAACUUUGGUAGGUAAAAAUGUUAAAGUUCUUAUUCCAUGUUAUAACUUUGGUAUGCUUGUACCUAGAGUCUUCAAACUUGACAUAAAGGUUGGCCAGUACUAGAAGAUCACCACUGCUCAUUUCAAUGUCAUUCAUUUGAAGGUCAAGGUCACUGUGACCUUCAAUGUUAAAAUGUUAAAAUUGUUAUAACUUUGGUAUGCUUGGACCUAGAAUCUCAAACUUGACGUAAAGGUUUGCAAGCACACUUAGAUGACCACUGGUCAUUUCAAGGUCAUUCAUUUCAAUGUCAUUCAUUUGAAGGUCAAGGUCACUGUGAACUUAAAUGUUAAAAUGUUAAAAUUGUUGUAACUUUGGUAUGCUUGGACCUAGAAUCUCAAACUUGACGUAAAGGUUUGCAAGCACACUUAGAUGACCACUGGUCAUUUCAAGGUCAUUCAUUUGAAGGUCGAGGUCACUGUGACCUUGGAUGUAAAUAUGUUAAAGUUGUUAAUACUUUGGUAUGCUUAGACCUAGAGUCUUCAAACUUGAUAUGAAGGUUGGCCAGAACUAGUAGAUGACCACUGGUCAUUUUAAGGUCAAGGUCACCGUGACCUUGAAUGUAAAAAUGUUU